rnacentral:rRNA from 1 species
GACGAACGCUGGCGGCGUGCUUAACACAUGCAAGUCGAACGGAAAGGCCCUGCUUUUGUGGGGUGCUCGAGUGGCGAACGGGUGAGUAACACGUGAGUAACCUGCCCUUGACUUUGGGAUAACUUCAGGAAACUGGGGCUAAUACCGGAUAGGAGCUCCUGCUGCAUGGGGGGGGUUGGAAAGUUUCGGCGGUUGGGGAUGGACUCGCGGCUUAUCAGCUUGUUGGUGGGGUAGUGGCUUACCAAGGCUUUGACGGGUAGCCGGCCUGAGAGGGUGACCGGCCACAUUGGGACUGCGAUACGGCCCAGACUCCUACGUGAGGCAGCAGUGGGGAAUAUUACACAAUGGGCGGAAGCCUGAUGCAGCAACGCCGCGUGCGGGAUGACGGCCUUCGGGUUGUAAACCGCUUUCGCCUGUGACGAAGCGUGAGUGACGGUAAUGGGUAAAGAAGCACCGGCUAACUACGUG